AUGGAGACGAUUGAGGCACGGGUCGGAGAGCAGUUGCAGAUGCUACAAAACGUGGGUGACAAGCUGAGUAAGCUCGAUGAUCUCUUUCGUCGAUUGGAUUCUUUGGAUCAGCAGUUUGCAGCGCAAGCCGAGCAGAUGCACAUUGUACAGAACAACGUCAGUCUCACGAUGAAGUCAAUCGGAGAAAUCAGACAGCAGCAGGCAGUGGCUGCUCAGGAAGUGGGUUCCAAACAAUCCCCUCAGGGUUCGUUUGCAGGUGAUGGAAUCCUUGGUACGCCACCACAGCAGCAAUGUCCACCAGUUACACCAGUUCCACCACCGGUGUUUGUACCUCAGCCUGUACAUCACGAAGCAUUCUGGGGUAGAAGUUCAGUUGAAGAAACUGUGGAUGCCCAAAAUGGAUUUUCCCCGUUUUGA
rnacentral:rRNA from 1 species